GACAGAGGGGGCAAGCGUUGCUCGGAAUUACUGGGCGUAAAGGGCGCGUAGGCGGGAUGGCAAGUCGGUCGGUGAAAUCCCCAGGCUCAACUUGGGAACUGCAUCCGAUACUGGAUGGCUUGAAUUCGGGAGAGGGAUGCAGAAUUCCAGGUGUAGCGGUGAAAUGCGUAGAUAUCAGGAGGAACACCGAGUGGCGAAGGCAGGUC
rnacentral:rRNA from 1 species